UGAAUACGAGAUGCUACGGCGUCGAAGCAGUGUAUGUCAGACUUCCAAGAAAAGCUCGCAAUGUCAUAAAUAAAGAAUGCCUGUACCAUAACCGACACAGGUGGGUAGGUAGAGUAUACUAAGGGGCGCGAGAUAACUCUCUCUAAGGAACUCGGCAAAAUAACUCCGUAACUUCGGGAGAAGGAGUGCCUUCUUUAAGAAGGUUGCAAUAACAAGAUCCAAGCAACUGUUUAUCAAAAACACAGGUCUCCGCUAAGUCGUAAGACGAUGUAUGGGGGCUGACGCCCGCCCAGUGCCAGAAGGUUAAAGAAGUUGGUUAGCUUUUGCGAAGCUGAUGACUGAAGCCCUGGUGAACGGCGGCCGUAACAAUAACGGUCCUAAGGUAGCGAAAUUCCUUGUCGGGUAAGUUCCGACCCGCACGAAAGGCGUAAUGAUUUGGAUACUGUCUCGGAGAGGGACUCGGUGAAAUAGACUUGUCUGUGAAGAUGCGGACUACCUGCACCAGGACAGAAAGACCCUAUGAAGCUUUACUGUGACUUGAAAUUGAAAUUGGACUUUAUUUGCGCAGUAUAGGUGGAAGGCGUUGAAAGUAAUCUUGCGGGAUUAGUGGAGCCAUCAGUGAGAUACCACUCCUAUAAUGUUAGAUUUCUAACUUUGGAUCAUGAUCUGGUCAAAGAACAGUUUCAGGCGGGCAGUUUGACUGGGGCGGUCGCCUCCCAAAUGGUAACGGAGGCGUACAAAGGUUUCCUCUGAACGGGUAGAAAUCGUAUCUAGAGUGUAAAGGCAUAAGGAAGCUUGACUGUGAGACCUACAAGUCGAGCAGGGACGAAAGUCGGUCUUAGUGAUCUGACGGUGCUGAGUGGAAAGGCCGUCACUCAACGGAUAAAAGUUACUCUAGGAUAACAGGCUGAUCUCCCCCAAGAGUUCACAUCGACGGGGAGGUUUGGCACCUCGAUGUCGGCUCAUCGCAUCCUGGGGCGGUAGUACGUCCCAAGGGUUGGGCUGUUCGCCCAUGAAAGCGGUACGCGAGCUGGGUUCAGAACGUCGUGAGACAGUUCGGUCCAUAUCCGGUGUAGGCGUUAGAAUAUUGAGAGGAGCCUUCUUUAGUACGAGAGGACCGAGAAGGACAUACCUCUGGUGUACCAGUUAUCGUGCCAACGGUAAACGCUGGGUAGCUAUGUAUGGAGAGGAUAACCGCUGAAAGCAUCUAAGUGGGAAGCCCACCUCAAGAUGAGUAUUCUCAC
rnacentral:rRNA from 1 species